CACUUGAUGUCCGCUCUUUUUGGUCAGAGUCAGAUAUUUUUGAAUUUUGUUUCAGUCCUUUAUAAUCAAGUAUUCAGUGAAUCUUCAUUCUCUUUUGUUUAAGCGUAGAAUUCAAGUCAUGGAUGUAACUGAUGAUGCUAUUCAUUCUGGAGUCGUAUCAAACUUCGAUGUCGACGUAAUAAGAGAUGUUCUCAAGAACAAAUUUUCUAAUUCUAAGAAUAAAAUCACUGACGAUAGUCUGGAACUUAUAAAUGAACUAAUGAAGGCGUUGGUAAUUGAAACGGCUCUUAGAUCAGGAAAAAUGGCUUCUAAAGAGGAAAGUCCCGUUGUUGGUCUUCGUCAUGUAGAAAGUAUUCUUGCACAGAUUAUGUUGGAUUUUCCAUAAAGCAAGGUGAUGUCAGACCAACGCACACUGAAACAAUAUUAUUUGAAUUAUUUUCUGUAUUUAUCAUUCAUAACUCUUAUACAGUUUCUCAUAAAAUUAUCUCAUAUUCUAGAUAGCGAGUUAUAUUGUUCUGCUCACACUUCAUUUCACUAUUUUGAAUUGAUAAUAAAAUAUUUUAAUUGACUUUGUUGAAUGAAAAUAAUCAAGUAGUCUUUGGAAUAUAUGCAAAGUGAAUAUUAUUUUUUUGAUUGAAUAGAAAAUAUCUUCUUGCUUGAGCUGAUCAGGUUGCAAUUACCUGAAUUGGUUAUUGGGAGUAUGUUACAAUAAGGAUUUAUUCAAUUUAUUGCAGAAUAAAUCUGGGGAAUAGGCAAAAAAUGACAUCCUUUGUUUGUUAUUGGUCAAGUGUUAAGUGAUAAAUAUAUGAAUCUCCCCUUCGAAUUUUAUGUAACCUUAUUCUCUUGGAUGUGAAACUUGAUGAAUAGGUCUGCGAAGGUAUUGAAAAUAUGUUCUAGCUAUUUAAGAAAAAAAAAUUUCUGUAUGGCUGCUGAAAAAAGUUUUGAACUAUAUUGUAUUAUUUCCACUUGAAUAGAAUUGUUUCAUCAUAUCAUCUCAUUCUGAAUUUUAUGAUUUCCUAUUAUUUGGCAUGUACUUGAUUUUUUUACUUUGUACUUUGAUAUUAAGCUUUUAAAAUUAACUGAUUUUAUUCU